CGAACGGGUGAGUAACACGUGAGCAACCUGCCCCGAAGACCGGGAUAACAUCGGGAAACCGGUGCUAAUACCGGAUGCCCUCACCGGGCCGCAUGACCUGGUGAGGAAAUGAAUUUCGCUUCGGGAGGGGCUCGCGGGCUAUCAGCUUGUUGGUGAGGUAACGGCCCACCAAGGCUACGACGGCUAGCUGGUCUGAGAGGACGACCAGCCACACUGGGACUGAGGCACGGCCCAG
rnacentral:rRNA from 1 species